rnacentral:rRNA from 1 species
AAUAGAGGCAACUCUGAUCCAGCCAUGCCGCGUGAAGGAAGACGGCCUAUGGGUUGUAAACUUCUUUUAUACAGGAAGAACCUUUCCACGUGUGGAAAGUUGACGGUACUGUAAGAAUAAGGAUCGGCUAACUCCGUGCCAGCAGCCGCGGUAAUACGGAGGAUCCAAGCGUUAUCCGGAAUUAUUGGGUUUAAAGGGUCCGCAGGCUGUUUGUUAAGUCAGAGGUGAAAUCCUACCGCUCAACGGUAGAACUGCCUUUGAUACUGGCAAACUUGAGUUAUUGUGAAGUAGUUAGAAUGUGUAGUGUAGCGGUGAAAUGCAUAGAUAUUACACAGAAUACCGAUUGCGAAAGCAGAUUACUAACAAUAUACUGACGCUGAGGGACGAAAGCGUGGGUAGCGAACAGGAUU